rnacentral:misc_RNA from 1 species
UCUCCGUUGGUGAACCAGCGGAGGGAUCAUUACUAAGUUGCAAAACUCCCAACCCUUUUUGACCGUUACCUAUCCCGUUGCUUCGGCGGGCGGCCCGGGCCCCGCGCCCGGCGCCCCCCGGCCCCCCGUGGGCGCCCGCCGGAGGUAAACCAAACCCUUGAAUUGCAUGGCCUCUCUGAGUCUGCUGUACUGAAUAAGUCAAAACUUUCAACAACGGAUCUCUUGGUUCUG